rnacentral:rRNA from 1 species
CAGGACGAACGCUGGCGGCGUGCUUAACACAUGCAAGUCGAGCGAUGAAGCUUCUCGGAAGUGGAUUAGCGGCGGACGGGUGAGUAACACGUGGGUAACCUGCCUCAUAGAGGGGAAUAGCCUUCCGAAAGGAAGAUUAAUACCGCAUAAGAUUGCAAUAUCGCAUGAUAUAGCAAUUAAAGGAGUAAUCCGCUAUGAGAUGGACCCGCGUCGCAUUAGCUAGUUGGUGAGGUAACGGCUCACCAAGGCGACGAUGCGUAGCCGACCUGAGAGGGUGAUCGGCCACAUUGGGACUGAGACACGGCCCAGACUCCUACGGGAGGCAGCAGUGGGGAAUAUUGCACAAUGGGGGAAACCCUGAUGCAGCCAACGCCGCGUGAGUGAUGACGGUCUUCGGAUUGUAAAGCUCUGUCUUCAGGGACGAUAAUGACGGUACCUGAGGAGGAAGCCACGGCUAACUACGUGCCAGCCGCAGC